rnacentral:lncRNA from 1 species
GUUCUUGAUACUCUCUUAUGUAGGGACAAGGUUAGUUAAAAUGUGUUGGAAUAACCAUUCUUGUUUUCUAAAAUAGUUUUGAGUGUUUGCUGAUGAUUUGAGUCAUGAACUCUUCAGUGUCAUCAUUGCUUAUAUUGCUUCUUUCCAUUAGUGGAAAAUAUAAUUUCAGUCAGUUUAGAAAGGUGAAUUCCAUAUACCACAUGAUGGGCGAAGUAAAACAUAAGUAAAAAAUAAGUGUGC